AGAAUCAACGCUGGCGGCGUGCCUAACACAUGCAAGUCGAACGAGAAAGUGGAGCAAUCCAUGAGUAAAGUGGCGCACGGGUGAGUAACACGUGAUUAACCUACCCUUGAGUGGGGGAUAACCUAGAGAAAUCUGGGCUAAUACCGCAUAAUACCUUCGGGUCAAAGGAGCAAUUCGCUUAAGGAGGGGGUCGCGGCCGAUUAGUUAGUUGGCGGGGUAAUGGCCCACCAAGACUGUGAUCGGUAUCCGGCCUGAGAGGGCGCACGGACACACUGGAACUGAAACACGGUCCAGACUCCUACGGGAGGCAGCAGUGGGGAAUUUGCGCAAUGGGGGAAACCCUGACGCAGCAACGCCGCGUGGAGGAUGAAGCCCCUUGGGGCGUAAACUCCUUUCGAUCGGGAAGAUAAUGACGGUACCGAGAGAAGAAGCCCCGGCUAACUUCGUGCCAGCAGCCGC
rnacentral:rRNA from 1 species